rnacentral:misc_RNA from 1 species
GGAAGGAUCAUUAACAAGAAGAGGGGCUGAAGGCCGCAAGGCUGGAAGCCCCCAGGGUAGAAAGCCCCAGGACAAAGGCCGCGAGGCUGGAGCCAGGGGCAGGAAGCCCACAAGUCCUUCUGUCCAUGGAUUGCUCUAUGGACAGAUGCAAAGGAUAAGAUCCGUUUGUCCAAGGCAAGAUGUGUAGAUAUGAUAUGAUAUGAUGUAUCAUACCUGUGCAUUAUGUGCCUGGGAUGGAUGCGAUAUUAAAGCUUAAUAGUAUAGUUGUGGUAUAUGUAUCAAAAAGUAGAGUUUUAACAAUGGAUCUCUUGGCUCUUGCAUCGAUGAAGAACGCAGUGAAAUGCGAAAAGUAGUGUGAACUGCAAAAGUUGGGAAUCAUCAAAUCUUUGAACGCAAAUGGCGCCAAUGUAAAAAGUUGGCAUAUCCGACCGAGGGCCCCCCAAAACAAUCCAUCCAGGAAAUGGAGGGGAGAUGGCCAUGACCUGCAUAGGUAUAGGUACAAGUAUAUCUCUAUCUAUAUUUUGGGUCUUGGCUUGAAGGAGUAAUUAGGACCAAAGUUUGGAUCCAGGGAGGGAUAGGGAACGCAAGUUCUAAAAAUAUCUCUCUGGUUUGCAAAGCUCUGUCCACACGAGCCAUGCCUGCCGGCAUGUCUCGACUUUACAAUGGGCCUCGGAUUGGGUAGGAUUACCCGCUGAACUUAAGCAUAUCAGUAAGCGGAGGAAAAGAAACUAACAAGGAUUCCCCCAGUAACGGCGAGUGAAGAGGGAAGAGCCCGAGUUUGGAAUCGCCUUUUAGGAGGCGAGUUGUAACAGGGAAGGGAAUCGGUGCCUUGUCCAGCGUGUCCAAGACCCAUGGAAUGGGGCAUCACAGAGGGUGAGAAUCCCGUCUAGACACGCGGGGCAGGGUAUGAGGAUUCUCUUUUUGGGAGUCGAGUUGUUUGGGAAUGCAGCUCAAAGAAGGGUGGUAAAUCUCAUCCAAGGCUAAAUAUAGGCAAGAGACCGAUAGCGAACAAGUACCGUGAGGGAAAGAUGAAAAGCACCUUGAAAAGGGAGUGAAAAGCGCGUGAAAUUGUUAAAACGGAAACCAAGAGAGAUGGGCAAGAGACUUGGGAGGAGGGUCGGGAGUAGAAUCCCGGACCGAGGACCAAGUCACAGGGGGGGGCACCGGUGAUGGGGGAAAAGAGCAUGGGCAAGGUAGUCAGAACUAAGGAUCUGAUCAUAUAGGCCCAUGCUUGAACCCUGUCGGGGUGCCCAGAAAGGGAACUGGGAGAAGGCUAUUAGGGGUGGGAUCGCUUGGCUGGACUGCAUGCAGACCAAUCAAUUGAUUCGAUCACAAUGAGCCGGAUCCCAGUCCAACACCUCCUCCGCUCACACUCUUGGACCCGUCUUGAAACACGGACCAAGGAGUCAAAUUAGAGUGCAAGUAUUUGGGUGGCAAACUCGAAUGCGCAACAAACGUGAAAGUGUGGGAGCCACCUUUAAAAAGCGGCGCACCACGACCAGUGUCUGAAUCCAUAAUUCAGGCACCGGCUCAGCACUCACAUUUGGACCCGAAAGAUGGUGAACUAUGCCUGUAGAGGAUGAAGCCAGAGGAAACUCUGGUGGAGGUCCGUCGCCGUUCUGACGUGCAAAUCGAUGGCUAGAUCUGGGCAUAGGGGCGAAAGACUAAUCGAACCAUCUAGUAGCUGGUUCCCUC